rnacentral:rRNA from 1 species
UACGAAGGGGGCUAGCGUUGUUCGGAAUUACUGGGCGUAAAGCGCGCGUAGGCGGACGCUUAAGUCAGGGGUGAAAUGCCGGGGCUCAACCCCGGAACGGCCUUUGAUACUGGACGUCUGGAGAUCGGGAGAGGUUGGUGGAAUUCCGAGUGUAGAGGUGAAAUUCGUAGAUAUUCGGAGGAACACCAGAAGCGAAGGCGGCCAACUGGCCCGAUACUGACGCUGAGGCGCGAAAGCGUGGGGAGCAAACAGGAUUAGAAACCCCAGUAGUCC